rnacentral:lncRNA from 10 species
UCUCACUUGGUUGUCAGCAGUCGUUUCAUGCUUAUUUCAACAGAGCAAAAAGAUAGGUAUAGUUUCAUGGCCAUCUCAGCCGACGCUCAGCCUCUCCGCAAACUCUGAAAAUGUAGCAGCAAAAAGGAUCAUGCAGAGAUGGAACUGCAAGAAGCAGCAAGUGUCAGGGCCCAAGAAAAAACAACGGCCUGAAUUUUCUGAGGACUUCUCCCAGCAAGAGAUUCACCCAAGCAAGGAACUGCCAAGAAAGGUACAGAUGCAGCAUCGUGGAUAUAGAACUGUGAAGCCGAAAUAAACUUUUCAAAACUCUCAAUAGUAAUAAUAACAACUUGUAACAAUUCAAUAACUAAUGCUACAGACCAGAACUUAUUAUCUUUCUAUUCUUUUAAUAAGCAAUAUUAGGCCACAUGUGGUGGUUCACACCUGUAAUCCCAGCACUUUGGGAAGCUGAGGUGUGAGGAUUUCUUGAGGCCAGGAGUUUGAGAUCAGCCUGGGAAGACAGUGAGACCCCGUCUCUACAAAAAAUAAAAAUAAAAUAAUUAGCCAGGCAUGGUGACAUGAGCCUAUAGUCCCAGCUAUUCUGGAGGCUGAGGCAGGAGGACUGCUUGAUUCUGGGAGGUCAAGGCUGCAGUGACUGAGCUGGGAUUGCACCACUGCACUCCACCCUGGGAGACUGAGCAAGAUCCUGUCUCAAAGAAAGAAAGAAAAAAAGCAGUAUUAGACAACUGCCAAAUUACAAAGAGACCCAAGAGUAUGCAGCCAAAACAAAUUAAGGAGAAUAUUGUAGACAUGUGCCAGUCAAUUGCUAUAGUUAUUUUAUGUUACUAUUCUAAAUGUUGUGAAU